GAGACAUCACGGCCAGGAUGGCAGUGCGGAUUGCUACGGUGGCCACGACGGCGAUCGCCACGGAGGAAAUGGACAUGAUGGGCACGAGGAUCAUUGCGAGGGACACGGUAAUGUCAACAUAAGGAACGGCGUUCUGCAGGUCGCCGAAGCCCUGGCAGUAAAGGUAGAGCAGCAGCGGCAUCAUGCCCAGAGCCAGCAAGGUGGAACAGGAUGUCAUCACAAUGCUGUGGACAGGAACAUGUGACUUUAAACCUUCCAACUGCAGGAAUGUACAGAACAGCACACCAUCCAGCAACACGGGGACACACCUGCUUCUUCAUAAAGAUGGAUCCUAUCGGGGUGAAUGGCCGACAGGCUUUUGCCAUGCUGUGAUAAAUACAGUAUUGCAGUAUCAUCGGUUUUAUGAUGAUGCAGGUUCAUGUCGCCGUUUAUAGCCAAGGCCAAGAUGUUGGAGAGUGUCCCCCCUGGGCAGCACCCACAGAUCAGGACCACCACAGCUGCCAUG